GACGAGGGAUCCUAGCGUUGCUCGGAAUUAUUGGGCGUAAAGCGGGUGUAGGUGGCUUGGUAAGUCGGGUGUGAAAGCCCAGGGCUCAACCCUGGAAGUGCAUCCGAUACGACGGCGCUCGAGGACGGGAGAGGAGCGCGGAAUUCCCGGUGUAGAGGUGAAAUUCGUAGAUAUCGGGAGGAACACCGGUGGCGAAGGCGGCAUCCUGGACCGACACUGACGCUGAGGAGCGAAAGCCAGGGGAGCAAACGGG
rnacentral:rRNA from 1 species